UAUUAAUAAGCGGAGGAAGAGAAACCAACAGGGAUUCCCUUAGUAAGGGCGACUGAACCGGGAAGAGCCCAGCGCAGAAGCCCGUGUCCUCGAGGGGCCACGGGCGGUGUUGCGUUUCGGAGGGUCCAAUGCGCCGCCUCAUACCGUCCAAGUCAAGCUUGAACGCGGCCACUACCCAAGGAGGGUGACAGGCCCGUAUGGCGGCGCCCGUGAGGGCACCGAUAAGGCGAUCGCAACGGACCGUAUCUCCGUAGAGUCGGGUUGCUUGAAAGUGCAGCCCAAAGUAGGUGGUAAACUCCAUCUAAGGCUAAAUACGACCACGAGACCGAUAGAGAACAAGUACCGUGAGGGAAAGUUGAAA
rnacentral:rRNA from 1 species